AUUAACUGGAAAAUGCCCCACUCAUAUCAAAGUUCAUUUUGUUUCAAUGUAAAUCAAGAAAAGCAUAAUAGGUGAGAGAUUUGAUUUUGCUCCUUAAGUAGAGUAAGUUUAAAUAUUGUUACAGAAAAGUAAUGCAUCUAAUACAUCCUAGUUCCUUUAUUUUUAAUUCUCUUGUGAAUUACACCAUACUUAGUGCUUGUACGUUUUCCCUUCCCCAAUCGAACAGAAAUUGAGUAUGAUGUUGAUAACAAAUAAUUUAUUAAAAAUAAAAAUUAACAAAAAAAGUCUUUAGCACAUUGAAAACAACUCUUGGCAACUGUACGAAGAUAUUUCAUGAACAUUAUGGGCAUAAGGGGCUGGGGCAAGCAUUUUGUCCUAAACUGUUAUCAGUUACAUCCAGAACUGAGGCACCAAGUAAUUUAAGAGUAACGAGAAGAGAGAGCAAAACCUGGAAGUCUCAGAUAAACGCUUGCCUCACUUUAUCAGAGAAACAAUUAAAGUGCAGCUAACGAGGAGCAGCUUUGCAGUCAGCUUUUCUCUCGACAUAGAUUUAACAGUCAAAGUUUCAGCUCUUCUGUGGGCAACCGUACAACACCCUCUUGAAAGCAGGAGGGGGAACGUAAGAGGUGAGAUCCCUGGCCCCUCACAGCGAGUGUCUUGGGGUCUUUCUGGGUUGUGACAGACACAAACCCAUAUUGAUGGGGACAUAAUUGGGAUACAAUCGGGACAGGGCUGGGGGGCAGACCUCGUUGCAAGCACCAAAGUUGGAUGGGCAAUGCUGAGACACCCGGAGCUGGCGGGGAAAGGCUCCCUGAGGAGCGAAGGGAGAGGAUGUGCAGUCUCCAGCCACCCAAGCAGACAGCAGUACAAGUCCACCACCACUACUUAGCUCACCAGAGUCCUUAGCCCACCAGAGUCUGGCAAGUGUGGUCCACGUCAGGGAAGAAAAAAAAAGUGCAUUUUGAACUACGAAGUCUUUCAAGACAGCCAAGGAGAAGAAGGUUUAAACAAACCAACAAGCAUCUGCCUGUUUUGCGAAAAGUACAACUAAUCUACAUGCACAGUGCUUCCCGGUCAGGCCGGCUCCAAGGGCUGCUGCUGUGGUUCCUUAUCUGGCAGGCUCAUUUGUGGCUACUGCAAACCAGGCCAUGAAGUAUUGAUAUGCAAAUCCUGCACAACCUCAUUUGACAAGAAUUAUUAUAACAAAUUUGGAAAAUUCCAAAAGAACCAGGUACUUAAAUGCACGUUCUAGCACAUCAUAAUUGCUUUAAAGAAAAAACACAAACUCAGUAACAACUACAACAAAACCAAAACAGACCUUCAGCACAAAGCUGAAAUUGUGGCUUUAACAGGCCUUGUUUGGAACUUUCUUAAACAUUUAGACUCCAAAGCAUCCUUAAAGGAUGAGGUCAGAUUCUCAAAGGCUCAGUCAAGCCCUUAUACCAACACAGAAUUUGUUCUAAAAUGCUAAGCUAGGUGCAAGUUGUACAUUUUGAACUUCAAAAUAUGUAACAUUCAAACUCAACAUGUAGUUGAGUUUCUCUUCAUACACUGUAUUUAAAACAGUAAAUCUUUGUCGCCUACGUUUGCAUAUUUCUUCACAAUGGAGAAACUAGAGAAAAUAUUUCAUUUUUGUUCUUUUCUAGACUAUGUCAAUUUUGCUAUAAAGUAUGUUAACGCACAGGAUUUACUGUAAAGUGAAGCCUCAUGCAGAAACGAUGAAUAACUGAUAGUACCUGUGUGUUUCACAAACUCAAGCAUUGAUCAAGCUAGGUUUGCUCUUGCUUGACCAAUGCACAACAGGUGUUUGCAGCACCAAGCAAGAGAUUAGCUACCUGUAGCAUCUGGACAGCUUAAUUGGCCUUUAUAAAUUGACCAAAACCAAAAAGAUUUAAAAUAGCUCAGUAUUCACUCCAAAGAUUCUCUUCAAAUUAGAAAAUAAAUUAUCCAAUCGGUUUAUUUUUUUAAAGGCACUUUCUAGUCUAAAAUGGGAUUAGUGCAGUCAGCAUGACUUUGACCUUUGAGACAUUUGCUCCUAUUCUGUAAUUAAUUCCACUUUUAAAUUACACUUUCAAACUGCAAACACACGAGUCUACCACCAAAGCUGUUGCCAGAAACAGUUGAUUUCAGUGAAGCACGAUACACAGCCAGACACAGUCAAGCUACCCAGUCUCUUAAAUACUGGUAUCAGACAUGAUUCAAUGUUGAAAUACUAAGUACUGCUCCUUUCCAAAAACAUUAUCUUCUGAUAACAACCAAAAGUGCUUUACUUACCUUAAACUUUUUACCACCACCACCCAUUUCAUUUCAAUCAAUCUUACAUUAAUCAUUUAAUUUCUGGUGCAAUUCAAGGGUACUAUACUGCUACUUAGAGGUUUCAUGCAUUGUUUAGGUAAGAACAGCCGAGCUUACCAUCAAGCACAUGCUUCUCUAUAUGUGGCUUUACAUUAAGACAAACCCAGAAGCACUGAGCGAUAAAAUCCACUGUUCUGGAUGUUCUGCAAACUGAGGGUUGAAUCUGCAUCUGUGGGUGGCUUGUCUCUUCGAUUUCAGCAGGGGAUUUGCACAUUUCUUCCUACUACUAGCAAUCUGGUAGGCUUUGCAUGCAAUAGAGCAUAAGAACAAAAUUUAUUCAUAUAAUUUGCUACAUAAAACUGAAUGACACAGUAACACAUCAUGCUUAUAGCAUAGAAAACAGUUAAGAACUGCAUGAUUUUCAGAGAUUUGCUUUUUGAACACACUCAAUACGUAUUUGUGCAGUUGACUUUCAUUUCACUAACUGUCCUCAAAUGUACUGUGGGUGCCAGAGCACUGGCACAGGUUGCCCAGAGAAGUUGUGGAGUCUCCUCCUUGGAAAUCUUCAAAAGCUGCAUGGACAUGGACCCAGAGGGCCCUUCCUACCUCAGCCAUUCUGUGAUUCUGUACUAGGUGAGAUGCUGAAACAAAGUUUUACAUCCCCAUGAGUGAAGGAAGUGCAUCCUUAGUGUGAAGUAACAGGACUUUUAGAAAGAACACAAGUCACUCCGAUUAAAUAAUUUUCUAUUUAAAACAAAAAUGGUAAAAUCCAAACUUAUCUUUCAUUUAACCGUGCAAAAGAAUUACAGCUGUGACAAUCAUCUAUUUGUGUAGGCAGCACAAACCAGUCAGCACUUAUUGAAGGCCCCACGGUAAGUCUUUACCUAGGGACUCUAGUUCCACCCACAAACCCAUGUGCUACUUAACACACACAGUACAAAAUAUUUAGUCCUUAUGUUGAUUUCUCCUUUAGAAAAAACACAGAAUUGUUGGGUACAAAUCUUAUGUCAAAAAUACACGAAGGACAAAAUACAAAAUUUGGAUGGAAAGGGGGCGGAAGGAUAGGAGAAGAAACCUCAGUUUUCAUAUAUGGGUUUUAAAUAUCUUUGAAAUUUGGCCACGUGCAGUUAAUGCCUCAAUCAGAAGGCCGAUUCAGGACAGAGGCAGAUAUGUAGUACAAAGACAAUUGUGUCCUUCUAAGCCACUAAAGCUGUGUGGUAAACUCCAGAAAAAAAGAAGUUUCUCUGUGACAAGGCUAAAAGUGAAUCUCUAUCCUAGUGAGCUAGGUAGUUUACCAUCACAUUAUCUGUAAGAAAUCCGAACCCGUAGGAGAACAUUAGAGGCAGAAACCACUUCGACCAUUAAUAAUAACAGUUCUGUGAUUCUAUGAUGAUUCCUUCAGAGCUUGCUUUGAGGCACUUCAUAUGCAAUAUGCACCAGACUACCUCAUUUCUAUCUUCUUACACCUGCACUCACCAUGUGAAGACUUCAUAGAACAUUCAUGAUCUUGUGAUAAAAUACUAAAGAUACCUAUAUUGAAAGAUUUUCAAAUUCCAUAGGAGUUCAAAGGUGAGCUUCCCUGCAGCAUCUGUUGCCUAAAUGUUACUAAAAAGAACUGGAGCAGUUUACACAAUUAAAAUCACUCAGUUCAGUCUCUCUUUAGUCCAAAGUGCAAAAAUAAUGUUUUUCCUUAAAAGGUGCUAUCAUUAGUAAUUAAGUCUCAGAGUACCGUUCCACCUACGUAUACUCAUUAAAGAACAGGCGAGCAAAGCUUUCUACCUAGAGAAAUUCUAAGGACAAUCCCUGUUGUAGUUACCUCUGCUACAUUAUAUAGCCAGGCUUCGACCAAACUUAGUUGAAAAUACUUCCAUUACAGCAGAUUA